ensembl:lncRNA
ACAGGUUUUCCCAGAUCCCAGUUUCCCUAAGAAUUUCUUGGUGGCAAACCUAGUGGGAGCGAUCACAAAGUUCAAGGCCUCCCUUCCUCAGCAAAAUAAUGUGGGUCACCAAAAGUGUGGAAAGCAUAAUGAAGAACUGAAGUUGUAUUCUUAAACUGACCAGGUGUCUGUCUCUGUGGUAUGCUGGGAAUCCAGGGCUCACAGUCAUCUACCAGCAAUGCCCAGUUUCAACAAGUAUAAAGUGAUUCCUCAUUGGCAUAAAUUCAAUGGACCAAUCCAAUAUGCUGCUUAGAAAAAAAUGUUUGCAGAUCUCAGUCCAGGGCCAGAUACACUCCUCCGGACCCCCAUCCUGAGCUCUCAUGGUGGCCUAAUUCCUUGACUCAGGAGCCAGCCGGCUGGCAGAGGGCAGGCCCUGUCCAGUGCUCAGACUGGCUAAAGAACCAGAAGGAGGUGAGCAGCAGGAAAUGUGGCUGGGUGGGUCGGGUGAUUGGAGAGGCCUCAC